rnacentral:rRNA from 1 species
GACGAACGCUGGCGGCGUGCUUAACACAUGCAAGUCGAACGGAAAGGCCCUGCUUGCCGGGUGCUCGAGUGGCGAACGGGUGAGUAACACGUGGGUGAUCUGCACCUUACUUUGGGAUAAGCCUGGGAAACUGGGUCUAAUACUGGAUAGGACCAUGCUGUAGGUGGUGUGGUGGAAAGAUUUUUUCGGUAAGGGAUGAGCUCGCGGCCUAUCAGCUUGUUGGUGGGGUAAUGGCCUACCAAGGCGUCGACGGGUAGCCGGCCUGAGAGGGUGGACGGCCACAUUGGGACUGAGAUACGGCCCAGACUCCUACGGGAGGCAGCAGUGGGGAAUAUUGCACAAUGGGCGCAAGCCUGAUGCAGCGACGCCGCGUGGGGGAUGACGGCCUUCGGGUUGUAAACUCCUUUCAGCCAUGACGAAGCCUCUUUUGGGGUGACGGUAGUGGUAGAAGAAGCACCGGCUAACUACGUG